UGAAUUGCAGAAUCCCGUGAACAAUCGAGUCUUUGAACGCAAGUUGCGCCCGGAGCCUUCAGGCCGAGGGCACACCUGCCUGGGCAUCACGC
rnacentral:rRNA from 1 species